rnacentral:rRNA from 1 species
GCUCAGGAUGAACGCUAGCGGCAGGCUUAACACAUGCAAGUCGAGGGGUAACAGAGGUAGCUUGCUACUUGCUGACGACCGGCGCACGGGUGCGUAACGCGUAUAGAAUCUACCUUAUACUGGGGGAUAGCCUUUGGAAACGAAGAUUAAUACCCCAUAGUAUGUUUGAAUGGCAUCAUUUAGGCAUUAAAGUUUCGGCGGUAUAAGAUGACUAUGCGUUCUAUUAGUUUGUUGGUAAGGUAACGGCUUACCAAGACUACGAUAGAUAGGGGUCCUGAGAGGGAGAUCCCCCACACUGGUACUGAGACACGGACCAGACUCCUACGGGAGGCAGCAGUGAGGAAUAUUGGACAAUGGAGGCAACUCUGAUCCAGCCAUGCCGCGUGUAGGAAGACUGCCCUAUGGGUUGUAAACUACUUUUAUAUGGGAAGAAUAAGGUCUACGUGUAGACUGAUGACGGUACCAUAAGAAUAAGCACCGGCUAACUCCGUGCCAGCAGCCGCGGUAAUACGGAGGGUGCAAGCGUUAUCCGGAAUCAUUGGGUUUAAAGGGUCCGUAGGCGGGCAUAUAAGUCAGUGGUGAAAGUCUGUGGCUCAACCAUAGAAUUGCCAUUGAUACUGUAUGUCUUGAAUUAUUGUGAAGUGGUUAGAAUAUGUAGUGUAGCGGUGAAAUGCUUAGAGAUUACAUAGAAUACCGAUUGCGAAGGCAGAUCACUAACAAUAUAUUGACGCUGAUGGACGAAAGCGUAGGUAGCGAACAGGAUUAGAUACCCUGGUAGUCUACGCCGUAAACGAUGGAUACUAGUUGUUUGGUUUUCGGACUGAGUGACUAAGCGAAAGUGAUA